rnacentral:misc_RNA from 1 species
AAAGGAAAAGGAAAAGAAAAAGCACAUUUAAUUAUGGAGGGCAUUAAAGGAGAAGGCAAAAUCUUAAUAAGCCUAAAAAUAGGCUAGUUUCUCUCCUUAUAUAUUUUAGUGGAUGGAAGGUGACUGGUAAUGUGACUAAAGAGGAAAUAGAUGGAAGGCAAUCGACAUCAAAGGGCUGGUAACUUCAAAAUACCAUCAUGAAACCUGAAAUUUUGAAGAUCAGGAAGAGAAAGGUGAGAUUACAUGUUGAAUCAUUAAAAUCUUAAGCUUCCCUUCCCAGAUAAAAAU